AUUGAACGCUGGCGGCACGCCUAACACAUGCAAGUCGAGCGGCAGCGUGGUUAGUAGCAAUACUAGCUGACGGCGAGCGGCGGACGGGUGAGUAACACGUAGGAACUUGCCCUUCAGAGGGGGAUAACCAAGGGAAACUUUGGCUAAUACCGCAUAAACUCGGGAGAGGAAAGCUGCCUUUUAGGUGGCGCUGAAGGAGAGGCCUGCGUCCGAUUAGCUAGUUGGUGAGGUAAGAGCUCACCAAGGCGAUGAUCGGUAACUGGUCUGAGAGGACGACCAGUCACACUGGGACUGAGACACGGCCCAGACUCCUACGGGAGGCAGCAGUGGGGAAUAUUGGACAAUGGGGGCAACCCUGAUCCAGCGAUGCCGCGUGGGUGAAGAAGGCCUUCGGGUUGUAAAGCCCUUUAGGUUGGGAAGAAGGUGAUAUGGUGAAUAGCCAUAUUAUUUGACGGUACCGACAGAAUAAGCACCGGCAAACUCUGUGCCAGCCGCCGCCGUAAAAC
rnacentral:rRNA from 1 species